ACUGACGCUGAGGAGCGAAAGCGUGGGGAGCGAACAGGAUUAGAUACCCUGGUAGUCCACGCCGUAAACGGUGGAUGCUGGAUGUGGGGCCCGUUCCACGGGUUCCGUGUCGGAGCUAACGCGUUAAGCAUCCCGCCUGGGGAGUACGGCCGCAAGGCUAAAACUCAAAGAAAUUGACGGGGGCCCGCACAAGCGGCGGAGCAUGCGGAUUAAUUCGAUGCAACGCGAAGAACCUUACCUGGGCUUGACAUGUUCCCGACAGCCGUAGAGAUGCGGCCUCCCUUCGGGGCGGGUUCACAGGUGGUGCAUGGUCGUCGUCAGCUCGUGUCGUGAGAUGUUGGGUUAAGUCCCGCAACGAGCGCAACCCUCGCCCUGUGUUGCCAGCACGUCAUGGUGGGAACUCACGGGGGACCGCCGGGGUCAACUCGGAGGAAGGUGGGGAUGACGUCAGAUCAUCAUGCCCCUUACGUCCAGGGCUUCACGCAUGCUACAAUGGCCGGUACAACGGGAUGCGACAUGGCGACAUGGAGCGGAUCCCUGAAAACCGGUCUCAGUUCGGAUUGGAGUCUGCAACCCGACUCCAUGAAGGCGGAGUCGCUAGUAAUCGCGGAUCAGCAACGCCGCGGUGAAUGCGUUCCCGGGCCUUGUACACACCGCCCGUCAAGUCAUGAAAGUGGGUAGCACCCGAAGCCGGUGGCCUAAC
rnacentral:rRNA from 1 species